rnacentral:rRNA from 1 species
CCUACGGGGAGCAGCAGUGGGGAAUAUUGCACAAUGGGGGAAACCCUGAUGCAGCGACGCCGCGUGAGUGAAGAAGUAAUUCGUUAUGUAAAGCUCUAUCAGCAGGGAAGAAAAUGACGGUACCUGAGUAAGAAGCCCCGGCUAAAUACGUGCCAGCAUCCGCGGUAAUACGUUGGGGGCAAGCGUUAUCCGGAUUUACUGGGUGUAAAGGGAGCGUAGGCGGCAGUGCAAGUCUGGAGUGCAAGGCGGGGGGUCAACCCCCGGACUGCUGUGGAAACUGUACGGCUGGAGUGCAGGAGAGGUAAGUGGAAUGCGUGGUGUAGCGGUGAAAUGCAUAGAUAUUAGGAAGAACACCGGUGGCGAAGGCAGCUUACUGGACUGUAACUGACGUUGAGGCUCGAAAGCGUGGGGAGCGAACAGGAUUAGAUACCCCAGUAGUC